GCAGCAGCCGCGGUAAUACAGAGGGUGCGAGCGUUAAUCGGAUUUACUGGGCGUAAAGCGUGCGUAGGCGGCUUUUUAAGUCGGAUGUGAAAUCCCUGAGCUUAACUUAGGAAUUGCAUUCGAUACUGGGAAGCUAGAGUAUGGGAGAGGAUGGUAGAAUUCCAGGUGUAGCGGUGAAAUGCGUAGAGAUUUGGAGGAAUACCGAUGGCGAAGGCAGCCAUCUGGCCUAAUACUGACGCUGAGGUACGAAAGCAUGGGGAGCAAACAGGAUUAGAUACCCCCGUAGUCCCUGUCUCUUAUAC
rnacentral:rRNA from 1 species